rnacentral:sRNA from 1 species
GCUGGGCACCAUGGUACAUGCCUGUAAUCCCAGUGACUUGGGAGACUGAGGCAGGAGGAUCACAAGUGUGAAACAAGUCUGGGCAACUUAGUGAGAGCCUGCCUCAA